rnacentral:rRNA from 1 species
AAUGGAGGAAACUCUGAUGCAGCGACGCCGCGUGAGUGAAGAAGUAUUUCGGUAUGUAAAGCUCUAUCAGCAGGGAAGAAAGAAAUGACGGUACCUGACUAAGAAGCCCCGGCUAACUACGUGCCAGCAGCCGCGGUAAUACGUAGGGGGCAAGCGUUAUCCGGAUUUACUGGGUGUAAAGGGAGCGUAGACGGCGAUGCAAGUCAGAUGUGAAAACCCAUGGCUCAACCAUGGGAUUGCAUUUGAAACUGUGUUGCUAGAGUGCAGGAGAGGUAAGCGGAAUUCCUGGUGUAGCGGUGAAAUGCGUAGAUAUCAGGAGGAACACCGGUGGCGAAGGCGGCUUACUAGACUGUAACUGACGUUGAGGCUCGAAGGCGUGGGUAGCAAA